UGGGUAAUCUGCCCUCGGCACCGGAAUAGCCCGGGGAAACCCGGAUUAAUACCGGACAGCCUCUCGAGCUCUCGGGCUCGUGAGAAAAGGUAGCUUCGGCCUCCGACUGAGGAUGAGCCCGCGGCGGAUUAGCUUGUUGGCGGGGUAAUGGCCCACCAAGGCGACGAUCCGUAGCUGGUCUGAGAGGACGAUCAGCCACACUGGGACUGAGACACGGCCCAGACCACCGUACGGGAGGNAG
rnacentral:rRNA from 1 species